GGGUGAAAACUUGUGAAAAUCUGCAAGAAAUAACUCGGGAUACAGACUUUCUACCUGUAUAGAAUACAUCAAUUUUUAAACUAAUAGCAUUAUAAAGCAUUAGCUUAGUCUGUGAGUUCACAAAUCACAACAUCGUUUUUAAGUGUGUUUUGUUAUUGUUUACGAAGCAGCUUGCUGCGCGUUGACUUGGAGACGAACGGGACAGCCGACGGCACCGUUAUACCUUAUUUAUGAAUGUGGGAAUCUUCAAUAGAGUCAACCAUAAGAACAAGGAUUCAGGCGGUAUGUACGCCGAGUGGAGCUCGCUGCCGCUGGAGGGCGGCGGGCACGGCGUGCUGGGCGCCGUGGGCGGCGCGGCCGGCGCGGGGCGCGACGUCGUGCUGGCCGUCGUGCGCCAGCUCACCUCGCACGAGCCCAGCCCGCUCACCACCGACGCCGAGGUGGAAUGGGUCCUCGAAGUGAUCCGCUUCGGUCUCUCCCUGCCUCUCCACGAGCACGAGGCGCUCCGCGACUGUGUCCGCGUGUGCUGCUCCUGGCUGUCCCCGCUGCUGCCGCCCGCGCCCCCCGCGCAGCCGCCGCCCCCCGCCGUGCCUCCACCGGUAGCUGCGGCGCCGAAGAGAUACGCUAGGAAGAUAUUAAGACACCUGCAUAACCUCUUCGUGCCACGGCCUAAUGAGACACUCACAUUCAUAUAUCAGACGGAGCUGGGCGGCGACCUCAUCGGCAAGCAGGCCGUGCUCUGCCACCGGGUUCUCCGUCUCGCUCGCACCGUCGCCGGCUCAGCUGACCUGGGCGCUGCUGAGUGGAAGUCUCUUUUACUCCUAUUGCUGGCUGCAGCAAGGGCAUUACUGUCUCCACCCGCCCCGCACCACUCGUCGGCUGAUCAGCUGUGCAGAAGAGUUUUAGCUGUGUUGCUAGAAGUGUGGCUGUUGGCGUGUCACAGAUGUUUCCCGUCACCCCCGCUGUGGCGCACGCUCCGCGAACAAUGUAUUCGCUGGCGGCACCGCGCACCACUGACGGAGCAAUGGACAAGGGUUUCACUCUGUCUUACGGCGCGUCUACUACGCCAUAUGUACGGCCCGACGUUCCCUAAGAUGCCUAUCAGUGAGGAAGACGCUAACCUGAUCCCACCAGACAUGUCUGCCGAAGCGGUCAUGCAAUCCUGGUACCGCAUACUCCACACCAUUGGAAACCCAGUGGAUCUUUGCCGGCCGCAUGUCAUCAGCCAGACUCCAGACUUUUUGCAGUACUCAGUGCUCGAGGAGGGAGCGCGCGACCCGUCGCAGCACCCGUGCCUGCAAGCGCUGCCGGCGAUCUUCCAUAAUGCCAUGCGCGGUCUCGCAGCUCAUGUCGACGCCUUCCUCGGGCGGGGCUCGGAGCGGUGGUGGGAGGCGGGAGUCAGCGGGUCCCACAUCGCCGAAGAGGGCGACACGCCCCCCGCACAUCGCCGACUUGCUAAAUCCUACAGCGUGGCUGGCAAGGCCAGGGACAAGACUGAGAAAGGUACCCCGCGGUCAUCUCUGAUCGGCCUGACCGGCGGAGGCAGCAGGCCCGCCAGCGUGGCGCCGACUACGCCUCCUAACUCUAUCGUCUCGCAAGUGUGUGAUUCGGAGAAGUCGCCGCUGACUCCGUUGCGUCCGAAAGUGAACUCGAUCUUCCAUUUGUUCGGCGAGUGGCUGUUCGAAGCGGCACUCAUUGGGACUACGCCGUCUUACAACAACCAACAGCGUGCCGACGGUACUCCACCGCCGCCAUCUUUGUCGGAUGCCACUAGCAAGCUGAACAUGGCAGCUUACCAACCAGGUCGCGCCGAAGCCCUAGGCGCUUUAUGCCGCGUACUCUGUUCAAAGCAGUGCCGCGAAGAAGUGUCAGCUCAAUACCUAGCACGUUGCUAUGCUGCUAUACAUCGCGGGCUGAGAGACCCACCUACUGCGCCCGCAGUUGUGUUAAAUGCACCUGAUAUAUUCAGAUUGGAUCUAGACGGCGUGUUAGUACUAGUUCCUGACUUCAUCACAGCAUUAGAGCACAUCCUCACAGAGCGAGAGCCGAAGCUAGAGUGUGGUUCCAUAGACAAGAGAGAACUGCGUAAGGCAGCCAUAAGCGCACUGUUGUCUCUGGUCGCUUUCCCGCACCAUUAUAAGGGCCUGCCCGUUCCGGAGUUCCCUGGAUGCAAUGAGUACGCCGGCAUGACACUAGGCGACUACGCCCGCGGGAAGAUCUCCCUAAUCUGUGUAACAGCCGUCCAAGUGGAGACCUCCGACGCGCUUGCAGUGCCUUUACUCAGCGCCCUGUAUCUGUGUGUGCGACACAACGCGCAAGUAUACACGGCGAGCAAGGCGCAUAGCGCGCCGCCCGGCUCCACUAUGUCGCAUAGCACGGAUUAUAAAGCGCGCUCCGACGGCGGCGCGGAGCCCUCGCUAGACGAUCUCGUCACCGACCUGGACCCCGCAUCGCCGCUCUUUGGUGCGGCCUUGGUAGUGCGAGCCACUUACCUAGUCUGCCACCGCCUCAUCUCCUCGUGGAAGGGAGACCUGCAGGUGUCGCUGGCAGCGUUGGAGCUGCUCUCUGGGCUGGCUAAGCUGCACUCUGCUAAACCAGAAGCCAUAGAGCGCAAGCGCGCCGUCCGCUGGAUCUGCGACUACAUCAGCAUCCAAUGCAGCCGGCCGCCCCCGGCGCACUCGCGCGACCUGCACUCGUGCGUCGUGGCCGCCUACUCGUGCCUCGCCUCGUGGCUGUGCCCCGCGCUGCUGGCCGACCCCGACUGCCUCGCCGCGCUCAUGGAGGUGGUGGAGCUCGGCAUCUCGGGCACCAAGAGCCAGGGCAAAUCUGGCGAGCAACCAAAGAUGAAAGACGAGAAGGAACUGAAGCCCGUUUCCAUGAGAGUGCGCGACGCCGCGGAAUCAUUGCUGAUGCUCAUUUUGGAACAGGUGGGAUCUGAAUCUCCGGGCACCGGUUGGUGCCGAUUGGAUGAAAGGUGGCUAUCGGCGUUGGGGCACGGUCGCUUGCGCCAUUACGUCGCCGAUGGCAACAUCCUUCUAUCGCUAUUGGAGGAACCGCUAGCGAAUAGCCAGGAACCUCAGCCUACACUUAUCGUGAUCAUCCGCUGCGGCUGGGGCCGCUUCGCGUGGUCCAUGAGCAACCGCGGCGCGCCGCGCUCGGGCGCGCGCGGCGGCGGCGCGGCGUGCGCGCGCCCCGUCGACAUCACCGAGCCGCCGCCGCGCCCCGCGCCCGUCUGCCGGCCCUUACCGCCCGCGCCGCCGCCGUGCGCUGUAGACAGCGCAUUCCCAAGCCUGGAAGCGGUGUUGCGCCAGCUGAACGAUCCGGAGGCGCCCACUCUGUUCAAGCUGCUUGAACAACAGGCCGCUGUCGAGAAACGCAUUCAGGAGAGCGAAAAUGACGCCGUGCCGGAAGAGUGCGUACCGCCGGAGCCAGUGACGGAGUUCCAGACGGCGCGAUUAUUCUUGUCGCACUUCGGAUACCUCAACAUCGGCGGGGAAAGAAAGGGUAUGGGACCACGUUUGGUGGCGCUUGACGACUCAGCCCCCGGUUUCGCGGCAGCUCUACGACGCGUGGACGCCUGUGGCGCACGCACAGUGCUGACGGUUCAUGUGCUCCUGGCGAAAGCCGGUCAGCGCACGGCGGCUGACAUCGUGGCUAACUCGCGCAGGCCACCGCCGGCGGCGUUCGCUAAGAUGCUACGAGGGUUAGGCAAGCCGGUCCGUGUCCGCGGCCACCCAGGCUGGACGGGCCACGUAGCCACAAGUUACGACGCGCAGCCGGAAUACUUGUCCACGCCUCCCCCCACGCCGUCCGAGGACAAGACUCCUUCCAUCUACGACGGCAGGGAACAGGUACUAUACUGGUCUGACUCCAGCAACGAGAUCGCGUUCGUCGUGCCGUCAGGACAUGAAGUUGUUGACACGGACGAUAAGAGCGACUCUAAAUCUGACACCGACGGAAACUGCUUAUCUACCAGGAGUUCAGAAAAGGCAGCAGGUUCGUGCUGGGACGUCUCAAGCAACAGUUCAGGCGCGCUGUCUUACGAACGAAGCAUCAGCGAAUCGGACAAGGCGGAGCGAGGCCGCUCCAGUCUCAACGAGAAAGUGCGCGCACUGUCUCUAGACCUUGACAAGCAACCAGGCGCUCAGCUAACUGGAAGCGGUAGACGUAAUCGUGACUUCACGACGAAGAUUCUGGUUAUCUGGUUGGAAGAUUUUGAAGAUCAUCUAAAUCUUCCAAUAGAUGACUUGCUCCGCUAUUGCGAAACCGGCCUCCCGUGGCGGCGCCACGAGGCGCACUGCAUCUGCGUGUCUCCGCGGCGCUCGGGUCUGCUCCGCGUGCACACCGUGCCGCGCGCGGCGGGCGUGCUGUGCGACGGCGCGCUGCUGUCGCCGCAGCUGCUGCCCGCGUGCCUGCGCCGCGCCGCGCGCUACCUGGCGCGGCCCAUACGACUCAACACCGACCUAUAUCAACCCCCGCACGUACGUCGCCGCCAUCUUAUCCAAGAGUUAGCGCAGCAGUUCAAGAGGGAACUCACCGAACCAGAACUAUUGGAGUCACUCUUUAAACCACCUGCCUAAACGACGACCCAAUAAAACGUAUAAGAUGGUCACCCCUUUAACGUCUGGGGAUAUGGCCUUUAUCGUCUAUCAUAGAUUAUCUACCAACGUAAAGCCUAACCAAAAAUAUAUGACUACGCGCCAUCUUGCGGAAUUUCAUUAGAACUAUUUUCUUCAUACUAAACUGAACUGUCACUCCAUACAUCAGAAUAACAGCGCCCUCCUGAUAAUAGUCAUAUACUUAUGGUCAGGCUUUACACGGUUAUCCUCAAAACCCUCGUCAGGUAUAACCUUGUCAAGGAGUUAUUGCAGUUCAUGAGGGAACUCACUGACCAGAACUAUUGGAGUCACUCUUUAAACCGCCCGCUUGAAUGCAAGAAUAGCUGUUACUAUAACCGCCCGUGUAUCGUGUGUAUGGCUUGCCACAGACAGUCUUAAAAAU